rnacentral:rRNA from 1 species
AGGAAAUAGAUACCCGGGUAGUCCACGCCCUAAACGAUGUCGACUGGUUGUUGGGGGUUUGACACUCUCAGUAAACGAAAGCUAAACGCGUGAAAGUCGACCGCCUGGGGAGUACGGCCGCAAGGUUAAAACUCAAAGGAAUUGACGGGGACCCGCACAAGCGGUGGAUUAUGUGGAUUAAUUCGAUGCAACGCGAAAAACCUUACCUACCCUUGACAUGUCCUGAAUCCUGGAGAGAUCCGGGGGUGCCCGAAAGGGAACGGGAACACAGGUGCUGCAUGGCUGUCGUCAGCUCGUGUCGUGAGAUGUUGGGUUAAGUCCCGCAACGAGCGCAACCCUUGUCAUUAGUUGCUACCGCAAGGAGCACUCUAAUGAGACUGCCGGUGACAAACCGGAGGAAGGUGGGGAUGACGUCAAGUCCUCAUGGCCCUUAUGGGUAGGGCUUCACACGUAAUACAAUGGUCGGUACAGAGGGUUGCCAAGCCGCGAGGCGGAGCCAAUCCCAGAAAGCCGAUCGUAGUCCGGAUCGCAGUCUGCAACUCGACUGCGUGAAGUC